CGUGAUUGCUCAAAGGUGCACCGAGCUAAGAUGCACAAAGGGAGAGGACUGACAAUGGUGAUGAGUCUGACCAUGCUGAGUCAGAUGACAGCUGCAGCUACAGCAGUUGCAGCAGCUCCAGCAGCAACAGGAACCCCCCAGUUCAUCCGACCUUUGCUACGCCGAAAGGUCCCCAAGACAUUUCUCAAACCAGAGCUGCAGGUCCUGCGCAACCUGUCCUGAAGACCUUCCCUCGCACCCAGCACGGACAGGGUAGGACCAGAGCGUUCAGGGCUUCGUGGUACAAAACCUAUACCUGGGUGGAAUACUCCCAGUGCCAGGACUGUGCUUUUUGUUUUGCAUGUAGGCAUUUUUCACUGCCCUGUGUUCCAGAGACAACGUUCACCUCAGCUACUGGCUUUUCAAACUGGAAAAAGGCCACGUAUAAAGAUGGAGGUUUCCACUUACAUGCAAGAGCAGAGCACCAUCUUAAUGCAAUGGCGGCAUGGACGGAAUAUCAGCGGGGUGUUGAGAACAAUACAUCUUUACUCCAGGCAAUGGACAAACGGUACCAAAAAAAAGUAGAGGACAACAGGAAGUAUAUCAAAACAGUUGCUGAUGUUUUGCUAUGCACAGCCACUCAGAACAUAGCACAGCGUGGCCAUCGGGAAUCAGAAGACUCAGGAAACAAAGGCAACUUUUUGGCCAUUUUGGAGCUCAUAGCCAAGCAUGACCCCUUAGUAAAACAGAAAAUGGGACAUAGCAAUGCCAAGUACACCAGCAACCAUACUCAGAAUGAGAUUUUAGAGGUUUUAGCAGACAUGGUGAGAAAGGACAUUAUUGAAGAGGUAAAAGAAAGUGGGGUGUUCAGUAUUCUAGCUGAUGAAACAAAAGACUUAAAAAAACAGGAGCAAAUUUCAUUAGUACUCAGGUACUACUACAGAGGUACAGUGCAUGAAAGCUUCAUGCAUUUUGAGCAUGCAGACAAACUUGAUGCUGCUGGGCUAACUGAAAAAAAUGUUAAUUGCCUGCAAAAGUACGGUUUAGAAUACAGAGAACAGCUGGUGGGGCAGGGCUAUGAUGGCGCCUCUGUGAUGAGUGGCAAGCACAGUGGUGUGUCUGCAAGAAUAC